GGCUCGUUGGUCUAGGGGUAUGAUUCUCGCUUUGGGUGCGAGAGGGCCCAGGUUCAAAUCCUGGACGAACUCA